GGCCUUGUGGUCUAGUGGUAUGAUUCUCGCUUAGGGUGCGAGAGGUCCCGGAUUCGAUCUCCGGCAGAGAACCC
rnacentral:tRNA from 1 species